GACAGAGGGGGCAAGCGUUGUCCGGAGUUACUGGGCGUAAAGCGUGCGCAGGCGGUUGUGCAAGACAGAUGUGAAAUCCCCGGGCUUAACCUGGGAAUUGCAUUUGUGACUGCACGGCUAGAGUGUGUCAGAGGGGGGUAGAAUUCCACGUGUAGCAGUGAAAUGCGUAGAUAUGUGGAGGAAUACCGAUGGCGAAGGCAGCCCCCUGGGAUAACACUGACGCUCAUGCACGAAAGCGUGGGGAGCAAACAGG
rnacentral:rRNA from 1 species